GACGUAGGGCGCGAGCGUUGUUCGGAUUUAUUGGGCGUAAAGAGCUCGUAGGCGGUCUGUUGCGUCGGCUGUGAAAACCCGGGGCUCAACUCCGGGCCUGCAGCCGAUACGGGCAGACUAGAGUUCGGCAGGGGAGACUGGAAUUCCUGGUGUAGCGGUGAAAUGCGCAGAUAUCAGGAGGAACACCGGUGGCGAAGGCGGGUCACUGGCCCGGUACUGACGCUGAGGUGCGAAAGCGUGGGGAGCAAACAGG
rnacentral:rRNA from 1 species